UACGUAGGGUGCGAGCGUUAAUCGGAAUUACUGGGCGUAAAGCGUGCGCAGGCGGUUUUUUAAGCCAGACGUGAAAGCCCCGGGCUUAACCUGGGAAUGGCGUUUGGGACUGGAAGGCUGGAGUACGGCAGAGGGAGGUGGAAUUCCACGUGUAGCAGUGAAAUGCGUAGAGAUGUGGAGGAAUACCGAUGGCGAAGGCAGCCCCCUGGGAUAACACUGACGCUCAUGCACGAAAGCGUGGGGAGCAAACAGG
rnacentral:rRNA from 1 species